rnacentral:rRNA from 1 species
UGGGGAAUAUUGGACAAUGGGCGAAAGCCUGAUCCAGCCAUGCCGCGUGGGUGAUGAAGGCCCUAGGGUUGUAAGGCUCUUUUGUGCGGGAAGAUAAUGACGGUACCGCAAGAAUAAGCCCCGGCUAACUUCGUGCCAGCAGCCGCGGUAAUACGAAGGGGGCUAGCGUUGCUCGGAAUCACUGGGCGUAAAGGGUGCGUAGGCGGGUUUCUAAGUCAGAGGUGAAAGCCUGGAGCUCAACUCCAGAACUGCCUUUGAUACUGGAAGUCUUGAGUUCGGGAGAGGUGAGUGGAACUGCGAGUGUAGAGGUGAAAUUCGUAGAUAUUCGCAAGAACACCAGUGGCGAAGGCGGCUCACUGGCCCGAUACUGACGCUGAGGCACGAAAGCGUGGGGAGCAAACA